rnacentral:lncRNA from 1 species
UUCAACAUGUUCGUAACAUUUUCUCAUCGAUUAGUGCUGGUGGUGGUUGAAGAUGUGGGUGAUUGUCCUGGCUUAGGGCUCCAAGGGUUGGGAUGAGAGUGUAAUGUGUUAGGAUGAGGAAAAAGAAAGAAAUAUAUACUAGUAAAUUCAAUGACGCUUAAUAUAAGUGCCAAUUUCUGAACUCCAUUUCAAUGACACUUAUAAAAGUGCCAAGGUUACCUUCCAUUUCCAACCAUGACACUUCCAAAAGCUUCAACUUAAAAAACG